AUGCCCUCUAUUCCUACAGCUAUGGUCGUGGGAGAGGUUCUCUAUAGGGCGCCAGAUGUACGUGUUCGUGAGCCUAUAGACGCCAUAUUUGAUGCUGACGGCAUCGACAUGCCUACUUUUGGUCUGUGUUGGACACGUCGCGAGCGACGCUUUGCUACUGAUCAGACCAGGAAGGCAUACACAGCGUUGAACGAGAAGUUCGAUGCGUACACCGGGGUCAUCUGGCAGCCCUACACGGAAGCAGCCAUACAAGCGAGAUACCCUGGUGGUCUGUCUGUGCUAUGCACAAGGGACCGAGAUUAUUGGAUGACAAAAUCAAAGAUCAUCUUCGAUGUCUUCGUCGAGGAGAUGGCACAACAGAGGGUUAUGAGGCAAUUUGGUCUUCUGCAGUUGGAGCUGCCUCCCCCUAUAGAGAACCCGGUGCCAGCAUACAUCCAUAGGCUACCUUAA
rnacentral:rRNA from 1 species